rnacentral:rRNA from 1 species
AUUGAACGCUGGCGGCAGGCCUAACACAUGCAAGUCGAACGAGCGGCGGACGGGUGUGUAAUGCCUGGGAAUUGCCCUGUCGGGGGGGAUAACAGUUGGAAACGACUGCUAAUACCACAUACGAGUGGUUUGCCCAGGUGGGAUUAGCUAGUUGGUGGGGUAAUGGCUCACCAAGGCGACGAUCCCUCGCUGGUCUGAGAGGAUGAUCAGCCACACUGGAACGGAGACACGGUCCAGACUCCUACGGGAGGCAGCAGUGGGGAAUAUUGCACAAUGGGGGAAACCCUGAUGCAGCCAUGCCGCGUGUGUGAAGAAGGCCUUCGGGUUGUAAAGCACUUUCAGCGGGGAGGCGUUACUCGCAGAAGAAGCACCGGCUAACUCCGUGCCAGCAGCCGCGGUAAUAC